rnacentral:rRNA from 1 species
CCUUCCGUUAGGGAACCUGCGGAAGGAUCAUUAUUGAAAUAAACCUGAUGAGUUGUUGCUGGUUCUCUAGAGAGCAUUGUGCACGCUUGUCAUCUUUAUGUCUCCACCUGUGCACAUUUUGUAGACCUGGAUCACUCUCUGAAAUGCUAACCAGCAUUUCAGGUUGGAGGAAUUUGACUUUGUUGUCUUUCCUUGCAUUUCUAGGUCUAUGUUCUUUUUCAUAUAAUCUUAUUGUGAUAUAAUGGACCCUAUAUAAUANAAACCUAUACAACUUUCAGCAACGGAUCUCUUGGCUCUCGCAUCGAUGAAGAACGCAGCGAAAUGCGAUAAGUAAUGUGAAUUGCAGAAUUCAGUGAAUCAUCGAAUCUUUGAACGCACCUUGCGCUCCUUGGUAUUCCGAGGAGCAUGCCUGUUUGAGUGUCAUUAAUAUAUCAACCUCUUUAAAUUUUGAGAGUGUUUGGAUGUGGGGGGUGUUAUUUUGCUGGCUUUCUCCAAGGUCAGCUCCCCUGAAAUGUAUUAGCGGAACAAUUUGUUGACCGUUCAUUGGUGUGAUAGCAUAUCUACGCUAUUGACGUGAAGCAAGUUCAGCUUAUAACAGUCCAUUGACUUGGACAAUUCUCUAUUUAUUAAUGUGACCUCAAAUCAGGUAGGACUACCCGCUGAACUUAA